rnacentral:miRNA from 1 species
AAGUUUCUAGGUUCAUGUCACCAUCAAGAAGCAUGCCUUGGACUGGAGAGAUGGCCCAGCCGUUAAAGGCUAGGCUCACAACCAAAAACAUA